AUCAGGCCCAUCGCCAUUUUGCCCGGAAGAGGAUUUGUGUUCGCGCAUGCGCACUCAGAACCGCAACCCCGCGGGAGGAGGCCCUUUUGGAAGUGGGCCUGAAGCCAGAGCUGUCGCCGCCCAUCAGGUGGCAAACGAGAGUGGAGCUUGGUGGCCAUAUUUGAAGUGGGCUCCCAAGCAACCCUGAAGGCAGCCUCCCUAAGGAAGAGUGGGUGAGUGGCAGCUCCCGGAAAGUGAGCAUGGGCAGAGCAGCUCCUGCGGCCAGAGAAGCCCACAUGUUUCUUUGAGAUGCAAUGUCAGAAGUCUCUGGUGUUGAAAAGUGACAGGGUUUUGCUAUGUUACCCAGG